GAUGAUAUAACAUUCUUGAUUCAUGGUUUGGGUCCAGCAUUCUUGAAACAGACAAUAAAAUGACAUAAAGUACAAAGAAAACACUCAACAUAAAAAGUUUGAUAAACGUUCUCCACGAGCUCCAACAAACUCAUCAUACCUCAAUGAUGGCUGAGUUUUAAAGGCGUGUGCACUUGACAAGAUACUUAAACUCAUGUAAACAAAGAUGCUUCAUUGGGAAAAAAAAGAAGAAUGGGCUCCAAUGACCUGAAUCCAAAGUUCCCUUCUAAUCUCACAGUAAUAUAAGAAAUAUCAUGCAGAUUCUUCUUCACACACGUUUACUUGCAUCCUGUCUCGCCAAGAGGGUGAAGAUGCCUUUAAAGUGACUGUCCUAGCUGCUUCCAUUACCCUACCUUCGGGGACUGACUGCAAGAGCAGAAGUUCCAGCUGGAACUCUAAAGAUGAAACCAGAGCUCAUCAAUAUGGAGGAAGAGGCUGCCCCUCUUGAGAAUUCCCACUGGUUGGAGUUAAUUAUACUGAACAGCGGCCUGGCAUCCUGGAUGACAUCGAGGUCAUCUCUGGUGUGGAUGGAUUUUAUGACCUCUAAGAAGUCACCAAGCCCUGCCUGCUUCUGUGUCCAGGCAACAGCCCUGACAUCACAUAGACCCAAAGCGCAGUCCUUCCAGUUCAUUGCAUUUUAGCUCCACUGUGCCGUGGGGCAUGAAGAUCAAGAACUCGGGUCCAUGUACAGAUGCAGCUUAGGAACACAAAAAUUGGAGAUUUCUGUUAAAGACUCUGUUAAAGAUUCUGCUAUAAACUCAUCUGUCUUGAUCACACAGCAUGGCCCCUCCUUCCCUAGGUUGCAAUAAUCCUGCGUCUCCAUGAAGCUCGAUGCAAUUCAUCAACAUCAAUCAAUUUUAACAGAAAUCUUGGGUAGAAAGGCAAACUACAUCAUAGAGUUGCCGUAACUGAACCCAAUGCAGCCAGAGAAGACAAGCAUCUUUGCCAGAGAAACGCAGUAAGGAGCAGACGGAAAAUCAGCUCUGGUUUAAACCAAAAGAAGAAAUGACUUGGGAUUGGAUUAACAUCUUAGACCUAAAAGGUGUCUCCAAGAUCAUCGGGCUCAGCCAUGUUUACUAGGAUACCCCAGCAAGGCAGGAUCAGCCCAAGCAGAAGUGAACGCCUUUCGAGGGAACAGCAAAGGUCAUGCAGGGGGAUGCAGGGAAGAUAUGAUAAGAAUGAUUUUUAUCCUUUCCUGAGCUGGAAUGUGCCUGAAGCAGAAGCUGGGUCACUUCCCUGAGAGUUCAUCUAAGACUUGCAUACACCUAAUGUUACAAAAUUAAAACACCAAAUUCUCCCAGAACUCUCAUCUCCUACCACACUUCAUUCACUUCCAUAGCACACACCACUAUCUAGUCUAUGUGAGUGUACAUUGUCCACGUUCCCCCAUUAGAAUGAGCUCCAUGAUACAGAGGUUUGUAUCUGUUUUGUCCACCAAUGUAUCCCCAGCACCUAGUAUAGUGCCUGG
rnacentral:lncRNA from 1 species